rnacentral:rRNA from 1 species
UGAACGCUGGCGGUAUGCUUUACACAUGCAAGUCGAACGGAUUAAAGAGCUUGCUCUUUAGUUAGUGGCGAACGGGUGAGUAAUAUAUCGGAACAUAUCCGGAAGUGGGGGAUAACGUAGCGAAAGUUACGCUAAUACCGCAUAUGCCCUGAGGGGGAAAGGGGGGGAUCGCAAGACCUCUCGCUUUCGGAGUGGCCGAUACCGGAUUAGCUUGUUGGUGAGGUAAAGGCUCACCAAGGCGACGAUCCGUAGCUGGUCUGAGAGGACGACCAGCCACACUGGAACUGAGACACGGUCCAGACUCCUACGGGAGGCAGCAGUGGGGAAUUUUGGACAAUGGGCGAAAGCCUGAUCCAGCCAUACCGCGUGAGUGAAGAAGGCCUUCGGGUUGUAAAGCUCUUUCAGCCGGAAAGAAAUUGCACUUCUUAAUACGAAGUGUAGAUGACGGUACCGGAAGAAGAAGCACCGGCUAACUACGUGCCAGCAGCCGCGGUAAUACGUAGGGUGCGAGCGUUAAUCGGAAUUACUGGGCGUAAAGCGUGCGCAGGCGGUUUUUUAAGUCAGAUGUGAAAUCCCCGGGCUCAACCUGGGAACUGCAUUUGAAACUGGAAGACUAGAGUAUAGCAGAGGGAGGUAGAAUUCCACGUGUAGCAGUGAAAUGCGUAGAGAUGUGGAGGAAUACCGAUGGCGAAGGCAGCCCCCUGGGCUAACACUGACGCUCAUGCACGAAAGCGUGGGGAGCAAACAGGAUUAGAUACCCUGGUAGUCCACGCCCUAAACGAUGUCUACUAGUUGUUGGAGGAGUAAAAUCCUCUAGUAACGCAGC